AGAAGAAAGAAGGGUUUGGGUUUUCCCUCCACUUCUAGGGGUCAAGGUGAGGUAGGUGGGCAGUGGCUGGAUGUGGCCCCUCACCUGUGCUUCGUUAAAGCCUGAGCAGGGCAUAGAGUGGCUGCAGCUGCUUUCCUCCUCUGCCUGCGUAUGGGAUGAGAAAUGAAAACCAGUACUUCUGUUUCUGGCUGCUUGACUCCCCAUUUCCAUAGCUUUGGCUUGUAGCAGGCUUGUGGUUGCCACGAUCAUGAAGACUUGCUGACGAGGGAAGGGAGCAGGAAGAGGAGUGGAUUUGAGCUAUACGAAGAUUCUGAGCAUCUGCAGCAGUGAAAUGAAGAUUCACAAUUCCAGCCAAGCAAGAAUCUCCUGGGAGCAGCAAGAGCCUCUGAAGAAGCAAUAUUUGGAUGGGAAACUUAUGUCCUCCAAGCUGGCGAGUUGCAACACUGACACAGAUUUUUCUUGUCGCUGCAAAACUCUUCCUGUAGAAGAUGUCCCUGAGGAUUUGAAGAACAGUGAUUUGAAGUGAUUGCAUUGGGCACAGAAAACUCAGGAUUUGGAGCAUGGAAAGUACAAAUCCAGGGCAGCCAGAGGGGCUCCCACAGGGUCCCCAAAGGUUCCCCUGGGUAUCCCUUUGGAUGUCUUUGAGAAAACCUUUCCCUCUGCUCCCGAAGAAGAGGCUCCCAAAAGCAGCAAGAUGGGGGAGAGAUUCUUCUGGCACACCAAUAGGUCUAAAUUCAAGGAUUCAGAUUUUGCCCUUGCUUUUGCCACCACAAAUGAGAGCUGGAUCCCAACAAGUCUUAACUCCACAGAGCCGGCACUCAUUUCUGUAUGCCUGAGUCCUUCCUCCACCCUUGAAAGCCUUCUGUGAUCAGUGUAACUCUGCCCACCUGAGCAUUUCCCAGCUAUUUACAUAGGAAGAAAUGAGUGUUGCUUUUACUCUCUCUGACUCCCCAAGCUACAGGAAGCAAGGAACCAAGACAGAGGGAGUGGGGAGAGAUGUUCCUACUUCCCCUUGUGACUCUGCAGGCUGUCAGCAGCCUUGGGAGGACACUAACAGGAGGAGGAAGGCAGAUCCUGGUGGGUCCCCACAGGGAGUGAGCCUGGGUAGUGCAGGGAUUAUCUGCAGCAGCUUUUGUUUGGGUCUGAAAGGCAGCACUGAAGGCACUGCAGAGUGUUAUGGCAAUGUGAGGACACUGAAGCACUUCUCAAAGCACCCCUGUGGACCUAUUAAUUGCAAUAUUGGAUCUUUCGUCUUUUUCAGCAGGUUCCCAGCAAUAGGCAUGCAGCCAGCUUGGCUGGGGUUUUGUUUAUUUUCCAGUUAAUGUAGAAGCAGAAUCAAUUCCAGCUAACAAAGCUAGGAAUAUCAGGAAAAAAAAAAAAGUUCAAUUCCCAUGGAUCAUUUGUGGCAUACGCCUGGAAGAUAUUUACUGGUAGCAGGGCAAUUAGGGCAGUGAUAUGGCAGGGGACCAGGAACACCUCCCAGGAGUGGGUGUGAAUCAUAGGAAGCCCGUCAUCAGCAAAGGAGGAGAAGUACCUCUGCUGUGUUGAUUACCACUAGCUAGAUGGGGAAAUUGUGCUUGGAAGCAUGGCAGCACACACAAAACCUGGCUGCAAAUGCUCCCUGCGGCAGUUCUCCCCCCAGGGUGGUAAGAAGCAGCUGAGUGGUGCUCGUCUGACAUCAUCUUGCAAUAAGUGUUACAUGUGACUGCCCAAACUGAGUGACCAGCACUUGUUACCAACCCCAUUAAGCUUUAAGUGGCACUUUUGCCUUGCUCCUUGCUCACUCCUGCUGGGCUUGGGUUAUUUAGCACAUGGGCUCUGGCCAUGUGGUCCAACUGGAGCAUAAACUGCCAGAAACAUAAACACUUGUUCACUUUGCCACUGCCAGAUUUCCCUCACCUUCGUCAGGACAUUGAUGCCAAGAGCAUUAUGUGAAUUCUUGUCAGGAGCAUCUGUGAGUUAUGGAUAUCAAUAUCCAGUGACUUUCUAUAGGUCACAUUUUUUGGCCCCACCAACACACAGCACCACUCUGGGGCUGCCCAGCGCACCUGCUAUGUCCCUGGGGGAUAUUGAACAGACAUAACAUUCAGAGCAUUUGCCUUUUUCAGCAACUUCAGUGGGGUUUCUCUAUGUGCCACCCUUUGGGUUCUGCAGGUCCCUGCUUACCAUGCUCAAACCCUUUGCAUUUAUCUUCUCAGUGUUUCCUUAUUUUUAGAUAUGCAAAUACUUCAGCAGAACAUUUCAAAACCCUGGCUACAUGCAGAUCUGAAGGGCCUUUAAGCUCUUAAAGCCAUAUUCUGAGAAGCGUGAAGAUGUUGUACAGUCCCUUCCCUGGAUCCUGGCUGUUUCUAGCCUCAGUCCCAUCCUGGGCAGCCUUUGGGGAAGGAGAGAUCUGGGCUGAGUGUGCAGGAGGAAUGCAAGUCUUUAGCUUGAAAACGCUGAAUGUGAGUCAUAAUUCUCCAGAAACUGAAUUAAAAAAAGAAAAAAGAAAAAGAAAAAGAUGCACCAGCUGGGAUACAUGGAGGUUUUGAAAAUAUCUGAUUGGCUCUGAUUAAAGUACUUAACUGCAGCGGGUCUGCUAGAAAAACCUGAAUGAAGGCAAUGAGGUCCUAAUUCGGCUAAACACGCCGGGCUCUGUGUCACUGGGGAUUUAGCACUACAGCGGGACAAAUCCAAGGCGGCAGAGAGCAGUCAAACCCACGGGCGGUUCCUCUGGGAACGGCCAAUGCUGCGUUUUCCCCUCUGCGUUCAGCACCACGGACAGCUCCGGGCUGCUCACCGCAGCGCUACCGCUCCAUCCCUGGGGACAACUUGGGUUGUCACCGUCCCCAAGGCGAGGGAAGGGAAUAAAAGGAGAGAGAUCCAUGCUCUACUCUUCUCUGUGCUGGCCCCAGAAGGGGACAUGUCGUCCAGGUCCAACCACAGUCUCUGUUUGUUGCGCUGUUUCUUUACCCCAGCGAUGCUAAAUGCUCGGAAGGAGCUUGGAGUUCUGAUCCGAUCCCCAGGCUGACCUGUGGUGUAUGGUUUAAUGAGGCUGGUUUAUGUAUGCCAUACCCUAAAUCUAAAGGUCAGGGGGUUGGGGGCCAUAAAUAUUCACUCCGUGCCGACUGGGUGUUUUAAACAAGCUUUUAAAUAUUUAUGACAGUGCUUGAAUGGCUGAAGGAGAAUGUUGUAAUAGUGUUAAGAGAAAAAAAAUCCUUCUGUAUCUAAAAGCUCAGCGUGAGCCGUUUUCAUAUAUUAUGCAUCACUAAGUGCUGUUUAUGGUCCUCCUUGGCAGAACUGGUGCUGUAACAAGACAGAGUUCAUGCGUGUGGGGCCGUGCAGCACCUAGGGUGAGUGGGUGCUAUUUUAGCAUGCUAAACAGGAUAUUUUGCUGGGAAGUGACAGAGAAUUACAGAAUACUACCAAUACUGGCUGCAUUAAAAAUGCCGUCUGGCUUUCAUGGUGCAAUUCAAUCACAGCUGUGCCCUGCUGCCUCUAAAAAGAUCUCAGCCAACCAAAGAGUGAAUUCUGAGGAAAACAUCUGAAAAUAAGAGCAGAUGAGUCGGACACAAGCAGCAGGAUGGAGCCGGAGCUGUUGCCAAGUUGCGCUAUGGUUGGUGUUCAAUCUGGGGCUGCCCUGCAGCAAUGUGAAUGCUGUCAGAAUGGGAAUCCAGUGUCUGCAGCUCAGCCUUUGGGCCAGCAGGGAGAGCAGCAAAGAGAAAAUCACUGGGAGUUUUUAAUUAGCUUCUAAUUAAGGCUGAGAUGGGCUUUUGCCUCUGUGCAGAGCAGCACAAUUCAGCCUGACUGAUCCCUCUUUCCAGGUGCUAUGGGAGUGUGGCCUUAUUACCCUCAGCUCUUUAAUUUUCAGAAGUGCUUACGGUUUAGGGGAAAGUGCUCUGUCAGCUCAGUUCUGCAGGACUCGUGUGCCUGGAUGGUAAACUCCAUCUCCCCCAUGAAGUCUUUUUGUGCAGAGUUAGGGGAAGCAAUGCAGGUUUUGCCAUCCUGCUUAGAGAAUGGUCAAUGAGCUCAAAAGAAAUGGAAGAACGAUGGACAAGCAGAGGGAUGCACAUCACACACCACAUGCAUAGAGAGCAGGAUCUCGUAAGCUUCAUUUCCUUAGGAAAUCAGGUUUAAAAUUAAGGCUAAUCAGAGUUAAGAAGCACUGCAGUUACCCUAAACCAAAUGAUACUAUAAUAUACUCAGUAUAUUACAUUCUCAAUAGCAAAGCAGCAUCUGCUACAUAAAAUGAAAUGUGUGUGUCACCAUAUGUAGGCAGCAUAAUGUGGACUCAAAUUAAAUAAAAACAUUUCAGGGUAUAUGGUCCAAUAUGCAAUCUGAGCCCUGGGAAAUGCUGAGAUUUACUCUAAAGUUCCUAACAGUUGGCUAAAAUGCUGAACCCAAAACAGCACAAACUUGUUUUUUUAGCAACAUAAGCUGUUGUCUGCACUUCCCUCCCAAUGAGUCAAUACCACUUCAGAAGUGCAUUGUUUCUCUUUACAUUUAUUUUUCUUUUUUUUUUUUCUAUUUGAUUCAUCUGUAUUUCCUAAUGAGGUUUCUUCCCAUUAGCCACAGAACACCUGAGCAAGCAGAGCCCUGGGCAGCAGCAAGCACUGCCUUCCCUCCAUGGAAGAUGCAGGAGGGCACCUGGAAGCCCCAUAAUACCAUUCGGUCUGUUAUCCAUGUGCUGCAAAUGAAUGGAAAGAGGUAAACUUUGCAGAAUGGUGCGACUCCCACCUUUCCCAGCCACUCGUUCUCCCUGAAAGCUCUCGUAAAGCAAGUGGCUUCUCAAGAAGCACACACAAU
ensembl:lncRNA